GGGGACGUAGCUCAGCUGGGAGAGCGCCUCGGUCGCAUCGAGGAGGUCGAGGGUUCGAUCCCCUUCGUCUCCACCA
rnacentral:tRNA from 7 species